rnacentral:rRNA from 1 species
AGAGUUUGAUCAUGGCUCAGGACGAACGCUGGCGGCGUGCUUAACACAUGCAAGUGGAGCGACGAAGCGGGCUUCGGCCCGUGGCAGAGCCGCGAACGGGUGAGUAACACGUGGGUAACCUGCCCCGAUGACUGGGACAACCCGGGGAAACCCGGGCUAAUACCGGAUGUACCCCCACCGCACCAGUGGUGGGAGGAAAGGUAGCUUCGGCUUCCGCAUCGGGAUGGGCCCGCGGCCCAUUAGCUUGUUGGUGGGGUAAAGGCCUACCAAGGCAUCGAUGGGUAGCUGGUCUGAGAGGACGAUCAGCCACACUGGGACUGAGACACGGCCCAGACUCCUACGGGAGGCAGCAGUGGGGAAUCUUGCGCAAUGCGCGAAAGCGUGACGCAGCAACGCCGCGUGGGGGAAGAAGGCCUUCGGGUUGUAAACCCCUUUCAGGAGGGACGAAGGUCGGCUGGUGAAUAGCCAGUCCGACUGACGGUACCUCCACAAGAAGCCCCGGCUAACUACGUGCCAGCAGCGGCGGUAAUAC